ACCCGCCUCUCUGCGCCCCUCUCCGCCCCGCCUCCCUCCUAGGUGAAGGAAGAUGAUUUCCCCCCCAUCUUGACCACCCCCCAGUCUUCGCCGCCAAAAACGGACUCCGCCGGCUAUCCUCGGCCCGGUACCAGUUGUUGGAUCCAAGAGAAUUCCGGAACCCAAACGGUCCAUUACCGCGGCUCUGGGUGAAACCGCAAGUAACCCGGAGCCCUCGGCGCGACCACGGCUAGAAUCAGAGCCUAAGGCGUGUGAGCUCAGCCAUCCCACGUCUGUCUUCACGCUCAUACGCAAGCCCGACACACCGGGGCUCCCACUUAAUGAAUACUGAAGAGUAGGGCUGUCCCUACCGCUUCUCACUUCCUUGUUUUCAUCUUUUCGUUAUUAUUAAGCGACCUAACACAAUAAACAUAUUACCUUGUUGGUAA
rnacentral:lncRNA from 1 species